GAGAACUGGAACCUAAGCUUCGCUGAGAGUCCGGUUCCUUUCCAACACUCCCCCCUCCCACAAACCAUUUAAUGCUAUUUCAUUAAAUAGCUCUCGUUGACUCUUUGCAACUGUGAGUCAUUUAAAGAAGGGCUUUUUUGUCUGCACGACUGGACAGCCUUCCCGUCUGCUGCAAAGGAAUUUCAUAUUCCAAUCUACUCCCCCCCCCCACAACCAGCCUCCAAAUAGCUCCAGACCAGAUGGAAUUUGCUCCUCCUCUAUCUGGAAGAUCUGGACUGCUCUGAUACUGGACACAUGUUUGUAGUCUUCCAACGUCCAUCUGGUUUGCCUUAAUCACCCUCUGACUUCUGGCUUUAAACCACACGCCCUUUUCUGAUGAAGGAGGAUGUGUGUGUCUCAGCGGGCAAGGAAAAGAACCAGAAGUUGGCUUUCUCAUCCAUAUUCUGCUGAAUAGCCUUAAAAUGUAGAAUCUAUAAUUCUAAUCCUUGCUGCAGUGCUGUAGAAAGGAGGAAACGCCUGUUCUGUGCCAUUUUUCCCCUUGUCUUGUGUUGCCUCCGUAUGUGGGACCAGAACUGCUGCUUCCGUGAACAUAUUGCUGCAGCAGAAACAUAUAUUGGGUUAUUUCUGUCUCAUGACAAAACCCUAAAUGGUACAAGAAGGAAAGCAAAAACAACAACAAAAGACCAACAACAGAAGACACCAUUCUGUCACAAUCAGGAAUGAGUGGUGACGGAAAGGAUGGGAUACAUACAACUGUCUCUGAAAAAUUAAACUGAAUCUCAGCUUCCUUCAGCUUUAGGAGAUAUGGACUGCUAGAGCUGUGAUCAUCUCACAAGAAUGGAUGGAAUUUUCUGAACCGACUUCUGGUUAAGAUCUUAGGUACUUCGUUAAAUCAAUUUAACACCUUAAUUUAAUCUUGCCUCAUGCCAAAAAAGGUUUUUUGUGUUUUUAUGUUUAGGAAUACCAAAUUUAAAUUUAAAUUAAAAUAAGGAAAAGGAAGGGUGAAGCAGUUGAAGAAACAAUUUCUUAGUCUGAAAAUACUUUUUCCACUUUUGAGAUUCUUUCAUAAUCAUGUUGCAAUUUACCUGGGAAGAAGGACUUGGAUAAAAUAUAUAGGUUCCAGCAAUUAUACUUAUAUUCAUUGUUAAGACAUAGGCAUGCCAGAACCCCUACAGAUUUACUGGACAUUUUUAAAAGGACUAAAUAAAGGAAUAAAUUUAACAGCAAUUACAUCAUUGUAGAUUUUGCAUAAUAUACAGCAAAAUGCAUUUUUGUGUGGUCACAUAAAAUUAUGUCCACAUAGGGAAAAAAAUAAAGCUCACCUAGUUCUUUUUGGUUAAGAAUUACGUGAAGUUAACAUUUUGGAAAAUCAUUUGCAUUCAAUCUGUGAAACUGACUUCCAAGCAAAUAUGUUAGAAUUGAGAUAAUAAUACAGUACUGCAGAAUUUUUAACAAACCUGUUGAUUAUUUGGGGGUGAGAUGAUAGCUGCUGUUUGCUGUUUUUGCUUGAGCCAUAGAUCUGCUACUUUCCUCUACAGGUAUUUCAAUAUUUUAAAACAUUACUGAGAUGGAAAGGAGAUGGGGGGGAACGAGUUCUUGUGCAUCCCACCCCAUAUGGAUAGAAGAAAAAAAGGUUGAGAGGAAUAAUUUUUUUUCUUCUGCAUAUUUUUUUCCAAGGAGCAGAAAAAAGUUUUUGUAUAACAAUGUUUCUCAAGGCCCUUAACUUUAAAAUAUGCCAUUAAUGACUUCCCAGUGUUGUUGUUUUUCAAUCAUCUUUCUUUGAGAAAAAAAUAAUCUAUCUCUUUGGCAAACUGGUGUUGUAGGCUGUUCUGAGAAUUACUGCAAUGCCUAACCGCUUCAUAGCAUUUGAUCGAGGCACAUCUUGCAGAUUGCUUUCGGAAGCUGCUGCUGUUUUGAGGGAGGUGGGGGGGGGAGAAAUUCAAACUGAAUUUGCAAAGAACAAAUCUGUUUAAUAAAGGAAGUGUAGAUUUUAAAAGAAACUUUUUGUACAAAAA